GAUGAAGAAUGCAGCGAAAUGCGAUAAGUAAUGUGAAUUGCAGAAUUCAGUGAAUCAUCGAAUCUUUGAACGCACAUUGCGCCCGCCAGUAUUCUGGCGGGCAUGCCUGUUCGAGCGUCAUUUCAACCAUCAAGCCCCCCGGCUUGUGUUGGGGACCUGCGGCUGCCGCAGGCCCUGAAAAGCAGUGGCGGGCUCGCUGUCACACCGAGCGUAGUAGCAUACAUCUCGCUCUGGGCGUGCUGCGGGUUCCGGCCGUUAAACCACCUUCAUAACCCAAGGUUGACCUCGGAUCAGGUAGGAAGACCCGCUGAACUUAAGCAUAUCAAUAAGCGGAGGA
rnacentral:misc_RNA from 1 species